ACGGGAGGCAGCAGUGAGGAAUAUUGGUCAAUGGGCGAGAGCUUGAACCAGCCAAGUCGCGUGCGGGAUGAAGGCCCUACGGGUCGUAAACCGCUUUUAUACGGGAAUAAAGUGCGCCACGCGUGGCGUUUUGCAGGUACCGUAGGAAUAAGGAUCGGCUAACUCCGUGCCAGCAGCCGCGGUAAUACGGAGGAUUCGAGCGUUAUCCGGAUUUAUUGGGUUUAAAGGGUGCGCAGGCGGCCUGCUAAGUCUCCGGUGAAAUGUCAGGGCUCAACCUUGGCACUGCCGGAGAUACUGGCGGGCUUGAGAGUGGCGGACGUCGCCGGAAUGUGUGGUGUAGCGGUGAAAUGCUUAGAUAUCACACAGAACACCGAUUGCGAAGGCAGCCUUCUGGGGUGUUACUGACGCUCAUGCUCGAAGGUGCGGGUAUCAAACAGGAUUAGAUACCCUGGUA
rnacentral:rRNA from 1 species